rnacentral:lncRNA from 1 species
GAUAUCUGAGAUAAACUGUGAUUUGGUGGUGCAGAAAUGAAAAUGAUUUUGUCUUGCCCUUGGUGCAUUAUGGCCACCGUGGACCUAAAUACUGGAAUUAAGCCACUGGAAACCCUGAAGAGUUACUGCCUGUCUGAUCCCUCUGAGAAGCAACUAUAUAAGUUGUCUGUAUUUUCUGAAAUCUAUUAUUCAGUAGAAAAAAUUAAAAGGUUGAGAGUUGGUGACCCAGUUUAUUAGAUGG